rnacentral:rRNA from 1 species
GACGAACGCUGGCGGCGUGCUUAACACAUGCCAGUCGAACGGAAAGGCCCUGCUUUUGUGGGGUGCUCGAGUGGCGAACGGGUGAGUAACACGUGAGUAACCUGCCCUUGACUUUGGGAUAACUUCAGGAAACUGGGGCUACUACCGGAUAGGAGCUCCUGCUGCAUGGUGGGGGUUGGAAAGUUUCGGCGGUUGGGGAUGGACUCGCGGCUUAUCAGCUUGUUGGUGGGGUAGUGGCUUACCCAGGCUUUGACGGGUAGCCGGCCUGAGAGGGUGACCGGCCACAUUGGGACUGAGAUACGGCCCAGACUCCUACGGGAGGCAGCAGUGGGGAAUAUUGCACAAUGGGCGGAAGCCUGAUGCAGCAACGCCGCGUGCGGGAUGACGGCCUUCGGGUUGUAAACCGCUUUCGCCUGUGACGAAGCGUGAGUGACGGUAAUGGGUAAAGAAGCACCGGCUAACUACGUG